rnacentral:rRNA from 1 species
CCUACGGGAGACAGCAGUGGGGAAUAUUGCACAAUGGGCGAAAGCCUGAUGCAGCAACGCCGCGUGAAGGAAGAAGGCUUUCGGCUCGUAAACUUCUAUCAACAGGGACGAAAGACAUGACGGUCCCUUUAUAUGAAGCCCCGCCUACCAACGUGCCAGCAGCCGCGGUAAUACGUAGGGGGCAAGCGUUAUCCGGAAUUACUGGGUGUAAAGGGUGAGUAGGCGGCAUGGUAAGCCAGAUGUGAAAGCCAGGGGCUUAACCCGAGGAUUGCAUUUGGAACUGUCAAGCUAGAGUGCAGGAGAGGAAAGCGGAAUUCCUAGUGUAGCGGUGAAAUGCGUAGAUAUUAGGAAGAACACCAGUGGCGAAGGCGGCUUACUGGACUGAAACUGACGCUGAGGCACGAAAGCGUGGGGAGCGAACAGGAUUAGAUACCCCAGUAGUC